rnacentral:tRNA from 1 species
GGGGCUAUAGUUUAGGGGGAAAACAGGUCGCUGGCAGCGAUCAGUCGGCGGUUCGAUUCCGCCUAGCUCCACCA